rnacentral:piRNA from 4 species
GGUUAGCACUCUGGACUCUGAAUCC